CGCCCGUCACACCACGAGAGUUUGUAACACCCGAAGUCGGUGAGGUAACCUUUUAGGAGCCAGCCGCCUAAGGUGGGAUAGAUGAUUGGGGUGAAGUCGUAACAAGGUAGCCGUAUCGGAAGGUGCGGCUGGAUCACCUCCUUUCUAAGGAUAAGGAAACCUGCCAUUUGCGUCUUGUUUAGUUUUGAGAGGUCUUGUGGGGCCUUAGCUCAGCUGGGAGAGCGCCUGCUUUGCACGCAGGAGGUCAGCGGUUCGAUCCCGCUAGGCUCCAUUGAAUCGAAAGGUUCAAAUUGUUCAUUGAAAAUUGAAUAUCUAUAUCAAAUUCCACGAUCUAGAAAUAGAUUGUAGAAAGUAACAAGAAAAUAAACCGAAAACGCUGUGAAUAUUUAAUGAGUUUUCUAGUUUUAAAGAAACUAGGUUAAUAAGGUUAAGUUAAUAAGGGCGCACGGUGGAUGCAUUGGCACUAGAAGUCGAAGAAGGACGUGACUAACGACGAAAUGCGUUGGGGAGCUGUAAGUAAGCGCUGAUCCAGAGAUGUCCGAAUGGGGGAACCCACUAGUUAAUGACUAGUAUCCAUAUCUGUUAAGGAUAUGAGAAGGAAGACGCAGUGAACUGAAACAUCUAAGUAGCUGCAGGAAGAGAAAGCAAAAGCGAUUGCCUUAGUAGCGGCGAGCGAAACGGCAGGAGGGCAAACCGAAGUGUUUACACUUCGGGGUUGUAGGACUGCGAUAUAGGAUUAAUCAUUAUAGAAGAAUUACCUGGGAAGGUAAGCCAAAGAGAGUAACAGCCUCGUAUUUAAAAUGAUAGAUUAACCUUAGCAGUAUCCUGAGUACGGCGAGACACGCGAAAUCUCGUCGGAAUCUGGGAGGACCAUCUCCCAACCCUAAAUACUCUCUAGUGACCGAUAGUGAACCA
rnacentral:sRNA from 1 species